rnacentral:rRNA from 1 species
GACGUAGGGCGCGGGCGUGUCCGGAUUUAUUGGGCGUAAAGAGCUCGUAGGCGGUUUGUCGCGUCUGCCGUGAAAGUCCGGGGCUCAACUCCGGAUCUGCGGUGGGUACGGGCAGACUAGAGUGAUGUAGGGGAGACUGGAAUUCCUGGUGUAGCGGUGAAAUGCGCAGAUAUCAGGAGGAACACCGAUGGCGAAGGCAGGUCUCUGGGCAUUAACUGACGCUGAGGAGCGAAAGCAUGGGGAGCGAACAGG